rnacentral:misc_RNA from 1 species
UGGUUCUCGCAUCGAUGAAGAACGCAGCGAAUUGCGAUAAGUAAUGUGAAUUGCAGAAUUCAGUGAAUCAUCGAAUCUUUGAACGCACCUUGCGCUCUCUGGUAUUCCGGAGAGCACGCCUGUUCGAGUGUCUUGAAGUUCUCAUACUGUACUGCUUGUUUACAAGCAGUACGGUGUGGAGUUGGGCAUUGUCGUCUCUUGCUAGACUGACUUGCCUCAAAUGCAGUAGCUGAUCCUUGUGCUGACUUGGUUCUACUGAGCGUGAUUAAGUAUCUGACCGCUCAGGACAUUGUCUUUCGGGAUGGUGGCCAGGAUAGUCUCGGGUUGCUUAUAAUCGUCUUCGGACAUACCUUUCAAAUUUGACCUCGAAUCAGGCGGGACUACCCGCUGA